GACGAACGCUGGCGGCGUGCUUAACACAUGCAAGUCGAACGGGCUCUGUCUGGCUGUGUGCUGGGUGGGGUUAGUGGCGAACGGGUGAGUAAUACGUGAGUAACCUGCCCUCUUCUUUGGGAUAAGCCUUGGAAACGGGGUCUAAUACUGGAUAUUCCUGUCUGGUCGCUUGGCUGGGUGGGGAAAGUUUUUUUCGGUGGGGGAUGGGCGCGCGGCCUAUCAGCUUGUGGGUGGGGUGAUGGCCUACCAAUGCGUCGACGGGUAGCCGGCCGGGGGGAGUGAGCGGGCACAGGGGGACUGAGACACGGCCCAGACUCCUACGGGAGGCAGCAGUGGGGGAUAAGAAGCAAGGGGCGCAGGCCUGAUGGAGCGAGGCCGCGUGGGGGAUGACGGCUUUCGGGUUGUAAACCUCUUGCGGCGGGGGACAAGGCUCUGCUUGGUGGUGGGGUUGAGGGUACCCGGUGAAGAAGCGCCGGCUAACUACGUG
rnacentral:rRNA from 1 species